rnacentral:lncRNA from 1 species
AUGAUUUUAAGACUUGUUUAGCAUUGGUGAAAAAAAUGUAUGCCAAAAUGAAGAUUGGAGCGGACACUGAGACGGAAAUUCUGAGUCUCCAAGAUGAUGGAAAAGGAUUUCUUGUCACCAUAGACUACAAACCUGAAUGGAUGACCGCUCCUGAAAUCAUAAGCUUAUACGAUGUGUAUUUUGAUCCAUACGACCCUCGAGGGCUUGAAGAC